UCUUUUCCUGUCAGGGCAAGAAAAACCUGCAGUGAGAGGCUGUCCACACAAGAGCAGUGACUCUCAGAUAUUACCACAGCAGCAAAGGUGAAAACCAACAGAUUUGGAGUACACUUUCAUCAAACCUGAGGCCUGGAGGAACAGCAGGUGCCUGCAUGUUGUCUGUGGAUUCUUCAGCAGAAAAGACAUCUGUUCAUUGCCCAAGAUUUUGCUGACUGUCAUCCAAAGCAAUCCCAUUAUGAACAGGUCAUCCAAUUUUUAAUGGCUGGGACAUUUUGUGAACACUGAAAACAGCAAGUAAGUGGUUGUGCAGCAUUUGAUGAGAGAGAAAUCUCCCAGCCUGAGUAUCUGGAUGAGGAAAAAUGAUGAUGAAAUAUUCAUUACACUAGAAUUCCCUUUUAUCCUCUCCCCAGAUAAUGUAAGCAAAGUCUACUUAUCUUUAUAGAUACAUCUUAAAUGUCUCACCUACUCUUAAUUCUUUCCACACAUUCUCAAAGAAGUGUUGAUUAUCCCCUCCUUUUGGGUAAACCACUACAUCUUGUUAUUCUAGCACCUGUCAUAGUAUGUUGCCAAUAUUUGUUUACAUUUAUUUCCACUUCUAGGCUAUGCAAUUAAUAGUGUCAUUUAAUCUUGGCAUCUCUAGCAUAUAAUUCCUGGCACAUAGAAAACUCUUAGCAAAUACCAAAUGAAUGAAUGAAUGUAUAUACAUAUUAUUCUCUUCUUGUAAACAUAAUAGUAAGCCUUACUCUGUGCAACAUUUUUUUUUCUAAAACAGAGUGAACUUUAAGUUUUAUGUAGGAUCAGUAGUUAAGUGUCAUGAUAUAUGCCUAGUAAGAGUUGUGACUCUAUGGUCUUAUAUAACCAUAUAAGUAUUUCCUACUUAUUUCCUACUUGGUAUAAUUUUUUGUGUCUGUAGAAGGCUCUUUGUAACCAAAUAUUCUUCACUCCAACUUCCAGGAUACCUGAAAUUCUAUUAUACAAACAUUUCAGAUAUUAAAGAAUGCCAAGAUGAAAAGUUAUGAACAUCAUGAUUGGAAGCCUUGGUGUAAGGGAGAUGGGAGAGAGAGAGAGAGAGAGAGAGAGAGAGAGAGAGAGAGAGUCACACAUUUCAACAUAAAUUUUGAAUACGUUGCAAGUUUAACCUCGUUGUAAACUAGUACUUUGUAUAGAGUAAAAGUAGUUAAAAGUGCUUGUAUUAUUCCUUUAGAAUCAUUCUAUUUUGUAAUUCUUCUGUUAACAAAAGAUAUUGCUUUUUUUUAAAAAAAAAAGAGAAUUAUAAUACUGAAGUAGAGUCAGUGAGUAUUCAUUCCUAGUCAUAUAUUUAUGUCCUUCUUCCUAGAACCACAUACCACUUUCCCAAUGGCCCUCUCUAACAUAGUACCAAACACUUUGAUCUCCAUCUUCUUAUCAGGGAAGAGCUGGAAUUUGCCUUCAUCUUGGACACUCCUGAAGGCUGAUAAAGAGUGCAUGGAGCUUUGUAAAGAAAAGAGAACCAGGCAUUCCAAAGUGCCCAGAUGGCAAUCAAAGAAUAUAGGUCAAUUGCUACACAUGUCCACUGGCAAGAAUAUGACCCUAUUGGGGACCAGGAGCUCAAACUGUACAGAAUCCAGAGUUGUGGGAAGACCAGCAGGCUGGAGACUCAGAGAAAAGUUGAUGGUGCAGUGUUGAGUCCAAAGACUGUCUAUAGGAAGAAUUCUAUAAACACUGAAGAAGACUUCAGUGUUUUCUCUUGAUGCCUUCUGCUGAAUGGAUGAGGUCCAUCAACAUUAAGGAAGAAAUAUUGGCCUGAUCUCUGCCUUCGUCUUCACAUGACAGUUUCCCUGCGUGCAUUUCUGUCUCCAGUUUUCCCCUUUUAUGAGGACACCAAUCAUAUUGGAUCAGGGGCCUACUCCACUGCGAUAUGACAUCAUCUUACCAUUACAUCUGCAAUAACCCUGUCUCCAAAUAAGGUUACGUUCUGAGGGACACUUAGGUAUCAAAGGCAUUGCAGAAAGCACUGUACUUCACUAUCUCAAUGUAUCUUAAGACUUCAAAAGAUACAAGGUUUCCCUCCAUCAAGGUUAAGUACAUCUCGAAGUCUCCAUGUUCAGUGACUUGGAACAGCAAACUAGAAGUACCGUACUCUGUACCAAGACUGCCUCUCGGCAGAGAAUGGUGUAUAUGAGCAGCCCGUUUUCCAGAUGCAUCCUAGAUGUGAGACUCCGUCUAGGUCAAGCAUAAUGAUUCUGAUGAAAAGUGAAGGAUUCUACUGUAUGUAAUUGGACUUUGACAGAACAGUUUUGCAUAAAGAGAAGGUUAUUAUUGAAACUUGGCCAUGACAAAGAAACUGGUACAGCUUACUUUUGUCAUCUAGUCUUAAAUUCAUCAACUUUGGUUUAAGAACGGUUUUGAUACCACAGUGAAGAAGAAAAGAUUGCUAGUUUGAGGUCAUUAGACAUGAACCGCUUGAACGAAAGAAAAAUGAGUCGUCUAAAAUGGCUACAGAGGAGGAUAUUGUUUGUAUCAGCAUGGAACAGAAUGAGCCGCCUCAGAAAACUACAAGAAUCCCAAUUAGACAAAUUUUUCCUCUGGAUGGAAACUGGUAACAAAGAUAAAGGAGUCCAAUAACGAACUCUUUAUUUUUCUUUCUCUUGACACACCCCCUCUUUCGUAUCAGGCACUAAAAAACAUGCCUGCCCUAAAAUCUUGAAUAUUGAGCAUUUUGAUGUUUCCUCCCUUUUUUCUAAGAAUUUAACAUUUCCCACAAUUUUAUAGCACUGAUAACUAUCACUCCUGUCCCCUGAUAAUCUCAGUUCCAUGCAACUUGUAAAAGGCAGUCUGACCCUGAGACUUCAUAGUGGGUGGCAGAUGGCUUUCGUGAAUGCCUAUUUCUGCUAUUAAAAUAAAAUGACAGGAAACACCACAGAGAAGUUUCUUUUAUUUGAAAAAAAAAUGAGGGUUGUCAUAUGAUGUGAAAUACAAAUCUAAGGGCUUUGGCAGUCACUAACCUCACGUAGCAUGGUUAUCACUGGAAGGUAAAUGUAACAUCCACCUCCAGGUCUCCGUGAAAGAUGCAUUGUGCGAAAGGCAAGACAGUGCUUUCUGGCCCAGUACUUACACGUGUAGCAAUUUAUUAUAUGAAAAUGCAGAGUGCAACUCAGACAACUUGUGAGCACUUAUUGAAGUUGCCAGGCAAAAAUAUUUUCCUCCAUGCUUCAUUAGCAUUUUCUGGUUUAGACCAGCUGAUCUUUUUGAAUUGGGCUGCAUGAAUCAUCACAUCCAGUAUGUAAAUUUCAUACGUAUAUUCAAAUAUUUUUCCUUUCAAAUUGGAACCAGAAUUCAUAUUAUAGCCAAUAUAGUCUGGAAAAAAAAAUAAAAAGUCAGGUUGCUGUCCUUUGUUCCCUCCACACAUCUAAAAAUUCUAAGAGCCUACAAGCUUAAUGUGGAGAGCAUCAGGGAUGUUUUCAAUAGUCAAGAGUGUCACUCAUUCUACUUUUUCAAAGUUCUUAGUUCCCAUUAAUAAUUUUAUAUACCAUAAUCAUUCACCUUGAACAUUUGCUAAUACGUUUAAAAUGCCAUUCUCUACUUAAUUGUUUCCAACAAGCGCUUUUAUUGAACAUCCACCAGGCAAAAAUGUACCAUUUCGAGUGUUCUGGAACCUCCUGCUUUCGUUUAUUAAUAACUCCCAAACAGAAUGUCUGCUUUAGACAUUAGUUUCCGAAAUAGAAUCGAAUCUUAAUUAGUUCAAGAGAAACUCUACUUAAGUAGUCUUAGAGAAAAUGCGCUAAUUUCCCCUCUAAUAUAUCCUCCUGUUGUUUGACUGUGAUGAGAAUGGUCUUUUAAAAGAGGCCUCAGGUGUGAAACCAACUGUUCAGGCUCAUUGUCAGCUGCUGGUUUCUAGAGUAUUAAUUCAAAAUUAGUGAAAAUAUAAGACUAUGUCUACAUUGGCCAACUCUAUUGCAAAAUUGAGCAAUUUUCAGUCAAGGGUGCAGCAUCCUCUACAAUGCCCUUGAGGAAGAUUCAGAAGCUCAUUCUAUUUCCAUCUGCUUCCAUCAUUAGAGAAUGCAGUUGAUUGAUUCAACCUCACUAACAAUAAGAACGGAUGCUGUUUAACUAAAAGGUGCCAUUCUAGAAUUUCAUGGAUUCACCUGUUGUCCCCUAGUAGGUCUAUGAUAAUCUGAGAAAGCAGCUAGACCGGACCCUUGCAAGAGGGUUUGUGUCCUACAUGUUGAAGACUGAAGAGGACUCUGUUAAGAAUGCCAGCUCCCAAGUAAAAUAUGGGCAAAACUGGUUGGAGUUGAAGUCUUCCUUGUAAAGAGGUGCUGCACAUUUGAGAAGUCAGCACCACACAGAUCCUCAGACCAAGCUACCUUCAUCGAUUAUGCAAUCCGUAACUCUGCCUCAAAUAAAAUCAACAGGAAUUUCUUUUAGGCUUUAUAAAUAACUGAAAACAAAGCUUAAACUUAGCCUUGGAUGAUGAAACUAUUUUUUUUCUAAAAGCUUCUUUGUGGCCACACACACACACACACACACACACACACACACAUUAUAAAAAAUGGAAGAAAAAGUUGUUUUAUAUUUCUGCUUACACAGAAAUCAUAUUAUUGUACAGAGUAAAACAGUAAACUUAGCUUUGGGGCUCAAUUGAGACUUGUUUAAUUGAUUGUUCAGAAUACAGAUAUUCAAGAAUAUUACAGAAAGUUUCAUUAUAACUUACUAAUCAAAAUACUAUUUUUUGGUCAUUUUUGUUUGUUUGUUUUGGCCAAAUACAAAAUGGCCAUUAUUCUAGUACAAAAGGAAAUGUUUGGGGGAGUUUACUGAACACAAAAAAAUCAAGUGAUUACUAGAGUUAUUUGAGCUUAUAGCUGUCCUUCAGUUGAGAUUUCCAGAAAUAUCUGCCAUAAAUUUUAUUCUGCAUUUUAGAUUAAGAAGGCAGUGUUUAUUUCUGAUAGGGUCAAUGUAUUUGCAGAAAAGGAAAGAAAAUCUCUAUAUAACACUUAGGUCAAGUUUGCUAUUUUGAGCAAUAAAUGUCGAUGUUAUAAUAACAUAAUUUUUCUCCAUAAUACUAACCUUUUGAGAAAAGAAAAGCCUUCUUGUUGUUAAGCUGAUCAGUUCUGUCUGGGUAAACAGGACUUAAUCAUGUAGCAAUUACUUGUUUCAGGAAGACUCUCUGUUAUUUGUGUUGUGUUAAUCCACAUCAAAAUAAAAUAGCCUUGGAUAGGUAA